GGGGACGCGUGGUUUCGACAGGGGAAGGUCCUGAAGGAUUGCAGGCCGGGGAGCCAUCAACCCCGUUAAAAAGGUGGCAAAAAAAGUAACCGGCGAAAGAGAAUUCGCUCUAGCCGUCUAGCUUAGACGGCUCGUCCGCCUCCGCUAACCCCGGGUGCGGGGAGCCGGGCGCAAUAGCACCGGGGCGCUGCCACCCCUAUGCCGAUUAAGGAUGGCCUAAGAACAAUCGGAUAGCCCUUUGAAACUCCGCCGGUAAAGGAUCAGAGAGGCGAAAAAGAAUUACCGGCUAAGCCUGUAGCACAUUCUUGCUCGACUUCCCUUGGACGGGGAGUUCAACUCUCCCCCGUCUCCACCA
rnacentral:tmRNA from 1 species